rnacentral:rRNA from 1 species
UACGUAGGAGGCGAGCGUUGUCCGGAAUUACUGGGCGUAAAGAGCGCGUAGGCGGCACGGUACGACCGGUGUGAAAGCCCCCGGCUCAACUGGGGAGGGUCACCGGUAACGGUCGAGCUAUGAGUGCAGGAGAGGGAAGUGGAACUCCGGGAGUAGCGGUGAAAUGACGUAGAGACCCGGAGGAACACCAGUGGCGAAGGCGGCUUCCUGGUCGUGCGACUGACGCUGUGGCGCGAAAGCUAGGGGAGCAAACGGG